rnacentral:rRNA from 1 species
UACGUAGGGGGCUAACGUUGUCCGGAAUCAUUGGGCGUAAAGAGCGUGUAGGCGGCCCGGUAAGUCCGCUGUAAAAGUCAAAGGCUUAACCUUUGAAUGUCAGUGGAUACUGCCGGGCUAGAGUCCGGAAGAGGCGAGUGGAACUCCUGGUGUAGCGGUGGAAUGCGCAGAUAUCAGGAAGAACACCAACGGCGAAGGCAGCUCGCUGGGACGGUACUGACGCUGAGACGCGAAAGCGUGGGGAGCGAACAGG